rnacentral:lncRNA from 1 species
CUCCUCGAGGAGUACGACCAGUUGCGUCGCCGACCAGAGGACCAUUGGAGCCCGGACGGCUUGCAGAACGACCAGGACCUGAGCAGAGGCGAGAGCGUCUCCGAGGACGAAGGGGACAGCCAAGGAGACAUGAACUCGAGCAGUUUCCAGCACCAACAACAGAUGGCUCUGGCGGCGCGGGCGGUGCUCGGCUCGCUGACGUCGCCCUCGCUCGCGCCCGCCAUGCUGCCCUUCCCCCCCGUCACGCCAGAAAAGCAGCUCCUGAACAGCGGCUC